AGACUCCCGCCUCCCUGUCCCCGAGCUCUGGGGGACCUGCUCCAGGUGCCUACCUGAAUGUGCUGUCGCAGGUCCCGGGGCUGAGGCUGCCGCUCCCUAGACCAAAGAGAACCUGGGUCAGUGCAUCCUUCAGUCUUCCCCUCAUCCUGUGCCCGGGGGGCCCCCGAGAACAAGGACACUACCCCCCAAGAGUGACACAGGCUGGGGGACCCGGGCCACCUGCAGGGAGUCCAGCCCGCAAUACCUGAUGCCUUCUCUCCAGGGCCCUUUGCCCCACAGCCCCCAGAUCUCCGGGCCACCCACUGCCUUGACCACCCAGCCUGGUGGUAGCCCCCAUAACCACCCAUGGGGGAGCUGGAGGCCUCAGCAUCUGGGGAGGGGGCGGUUCCGAGCCCCGAGGCCCAGUCCAGCCCCACUAUUUUGCUAUUAGAGCUUUACUGGAGGAGGACCAUGCCCAUGCAAGGUAGUGUCUGGGCUCCGACCUCAGAGCUGAGCGGCUGCUCCGAGGGCGCCUGUGAUUUCCUUUCCCGUCCUUGAGGGUGUGGGCCCUGCUCUCAGCAGCUGGCGGGGAAGGCUUCGCAGGGGGGUGCCCCUGGAAAAUGCCCCACUGGGAGGCCCUAGGUGAGAUGAGCAAAGUUCCCUGACACUGCAGGCGACCUUCUCUUGGGCCUCUGAAGUGGGCCGUCACCUGGUACUGGACUGUCCCAGGCAGGCAGAUGCACAGGCUGGGCUCGGGGGCCCCCGCUGCUGGCAGGCCAAGCAGUGAGCCCAGUUCGUCCAUGGCACACCCAAUGCAGAUCUCAGGCUGCCUCCUGCCUGCCAGGCCGGGCCCCUCCCAUGCUCUUGGGAAAGCCACUUUCAUCUCUGCUGCGUCUCUAAGCUGCCUGCUCUGCCUUCCAGGGCUCCCAAGUGGAAAGCA
rnacentral:lncRNA from 1 species